rnacentral:rRNA from 1 species
CCUACGGGAGGCAGCAGUGGGGAAUAUUGGACAAUGGGGGGAACCCUGAUCCAGCCAUGCCGCGUGUGUGAAGAAGGCCCUAGGGUUGUAAAGUACUUUCAGUCGGGAGGAAGGCGUUGAUGCUAAUAUCAUCAACGAUUGACGUUACCGACAGAAGAAGCACCGGCUAACUCCGUGCCAGCAGCCGCGGUAAUACGGGGGGUGCAAGCGUUAAUCGGAAUUACUGGGCGUAAAGCGCACGCAGGCGGUUGAUUAAGUUAGAUGUGAAAUCCCCGGGCUUAACCUGGGAAUGGCAUCUAAGACUGGUCAGCUAGAGUCUUGUAGAGGGGGGUGGAAUUCCAUGUGUAGCGGUGAAAUGCGUAGAGAUCUGGAGGAAUACCGGUGGCGAAGGCGGCCCCCUGGACAAAGACUGACGCUCAGGUGCGAAAGCGUGGGGAGCAAACAGGAUUAGAUACCCGGGUAGUC